UGUGGAUGAUAAGUUAAACCGUGUUGAUCUCACUGUUACUGCUCUGUGUGCAGGUAAUUUUCUAUUAUAUUUUGUGUUAAGGUAUUAAAUGUGUUUAUUCAGUGAUAUUAGUUACGCAUUUUCUGUAUUUUUAUACUUCUGUCUUUGUUUUAUAUAAUAAUAAUAUAAGCUUUCAAUAUAGACUGCAGCAGAGUUAGGGAGAACUGCUGUGGAUGUGGAUGCUAAGUUAAACCGUGUUGAUCUCACUGUUACUGCUCUGUGUGCAGGGCAAAAUAAAAUCCUCCUCAUCCGA